UUAGAGUGGCCGGGCCGUGGUGUUCGGGAAGACCGGUGACGGACCUUGAGGUCCCAGACCGGAGCGGCCCUCGCCACUGUGAUCGGGGAGUUUCCAUCCCUUCCGCAGACGCAUGACGCCUCUGCGGCGCCACUGACCGCAGCCCGCGGCCGGGAAGGCGGGGGCGGACGCGUGCACCCCGUAAGCCAGGAGACCGGCCACGGCAUCUCACGAACU
rnacentral:ncRNA from 2 species